rfam:Buceros rhinoceros silvestris contig18806, whole genome shotgun sequence.
CAAAAGGCUUUAAAUUUUUUUUUUAAAGAAAGCCACAAAAUGAGACAUUGGAAUUAUCU